rnacentral:lncRNA from 1 species
GCUGGCCGCAGGUGAGACUGGAAAACAGACGUCUCCAGGAGUGCGCGUUCAACAGGAGAAAGAGAAACUUCAACAAAGAGGGAACAAGACAGUGGGGAUGAGCCAUUCACUUCUGUGAACAAGAGACUGCGACUUUCACACCUUCUACCCCGGCAGUACCUUCACAUCCCCAGUCGGUGACUCCCCUGGACCUGUGCAGAGCGACGCCAUGACAGGCACCGACGCACAGGCUGCCGGUCUAUGUCCUGCUGUGGAAAUCUCCUUCAGUCACGAGGAGGAGUUUUCUGUAAAAUCACGUCCUCAGGAGGAACAGAAAUGACCAGGACCCACGACUCCAUCCCGGUCUCCACUGCAGCCGCCAGGGCCCUUCCUCCUCCCUGCCCGCGCCUGUGCGACAUCAGAAGAAUAAGAGGAAAGGGUUGGCCCGGCGAGCACCUACCACAAGUCCAGCUCGGCGGUGUGGGGCUCUAAUUCCCCUGAAUCCUGAUUAAAUGUCAGCUCCGCAUUCUAAAGGACAGGGACGAAGGAAGAGACCUGUGGGCAUUUGAGCAAACUGUUUACUUUAGAAAGUGUUUCUGGUCCUGACGCCAUCCCUGCCCCGAACACCGUGGGCAGGCGGUCCCCGCCGCGCCCCUCCACCUGCACAGCGGCUGAGGACACUCGGCCCGCGAGGUCCGCGUGAAAAUGGCUGCCGUUGGCCCAUGAGGAGCGGCCCUGUCAGGUGCGGCCUUCUUGGAGGAAGUUCGUCACUGUGGCUUCGAGAGUUCAGGAGCUCAAGCCGGGCCUAGUUGCUCCGUUUCUCUUCUUGACGCCUGUCAAUCGUGAUGAUAAUGGACUAAACCUGUGAACUUGAUGGUGAAUGUGGGGGCACAUACAUAUUAUGGCACAUGUGUGAAGAUCAGGGUAACUUUGUGGAAUUGGUUCUGUUUACCUUUGCAUGAGCUCUGGGACUUGCAUUCAGGUUUAUAAGGACCUCUCCUAGGAAAGACAGAACAAAUCGUGGCGCUCCUGGGCUCAGAACGAAUUACAGAUAGAAAUCCCGAGAGUUUGCUGUGGCGUUCAAGGCCCUUGGAGCCAUCUGGAAGGGGUUUUUCUGCUUCCUGUUGAUGUUUUCCACCCACACGGGGCUGCCUCCCCUGUCUGCCCAGUGCCCACAAGGAGCCCUCAGGCCCUGACAUUCCUCACUGGCUCAUUGCUUCUUUCUCCAUCUGGACUCUCUCUCCUCUCAGCACCACGUCCUGUCCCAUCCUCUCCCAUCCUCUCCCAUCCU